rnacentral:lncRNA from 1 species
GAAAUCCAAGCAGGUGAUGAACUAUCAGAACGGUUGUAAAGUGGCAAACUCUAAUCAUUUUCAAGUAUUAGAGUUCAGCCUCAUGACACAGUCUCUAAAAGGACAAAUGCUGAAAGCUUGAUAUUUAAGAUCCAAAAUGAAUGACUACCUCAAGGACACAAAUUAAAAAAAAAGACUGGCUAGAAAUGCCAAAGAAGUGAAAAAUAUUGCUUAAAUGGAAGGUGACAUUGCAGUUUUAUUCAUUCAUAUAAAAAUUCCAAAUGUUAAUUCUUUAAUGGGAAAGAGGUCAGCUUCAAGGUUAUCAACAGAACAGCAGAUAUUUUGUCAAAAGUGCUCCUAAGACUAUGUCUCUUGACAAAAUUAAGCACAAUAUAUAUGGAGCUUCCAUUUAAAAUAGUUUUUGAAAAUUUUCUUUGGUUAAAUGUCUCAUAGCUCAUAA